rnacentral:rRNA from 1 species
AACGAACGCUGGCGGCAGGCCUAACACAUGCAAGUCGAACGCUCCAGCAAUGGAGAGUGGCAGACGGGUGAGUAACGCGUGGGAACCUUCCCUAUGGUUCGGAAUAGCUCAGGGAAACUUGAGGUAAUACCGGAUAAGCCCUUCGGGGGAAAGAUUUAUCGCCAUUGGAUGGGCCCGCGUCGGAUUAGCUAGUUGGUGAGGUAACGGCUCACCAAGGCGACGAUCCGUAGCUGGUCUGAGAGGAUGAUCAGCCACACUGGGACUGAGACACGGCCCAGACUCCUACGGGAGGCAGCAGUGGGGAAUAUUGGACAAUGGGCGCAAGCCUGAUCCAGCCAUGCCGCGUGAGUGACGAAGGCCUUAGGGUUGUAAAGCUCUUUUGGCGGGGAAGAUAAUGACGGUACCCGCAGAAUAAGCUCCGGCUAACUUCGUGC